CCUCUGUAAUUCAACAGGAGCCGAUCAAUCUACCCGGCUACCUGACUGAGCAUAGUAAAAUAAUAAAGCCUUGGAAGAGCCGCUAGUCGGCGAAACACGCGUCUGGACUUUUGAUAGCAUAAGGGUGGAGGAGGUGGACAGGGGACUUAGCUGCAGCCUUUAGAUUUAUUUUCCUCCGUGUUAGCCACCCAGCUCAAUUAUUUUACUAUGCUCAGUCAGGUAGCCGGGUAGAUUGAUCGGCUCCUGUUGAAUUACAGAGGGGAAUGAGAGUGUGC